rnacentral:rRNA from 1 species
CCUACGGGUGGCAGCAGUGAGGAAUAUUGGUCAAUGGCCGUAAGGCUGAACCAGCCAAGUCGCGUGAAGGAAGAAGGAUCUAUGGUUUGUAAACUUCUUUUAUCGGGGAAUAAAGGUAUCCAUGUGUGGAUUUUUGCAUGUACCCUAUGAAUAAGCAUCGGCUAACUCCGUGCCAGCAGCAGCGGUAAUACGGAGGAUGCGAGCGUGAUCCGGAUUUAUUGGGUUUAAAGGGUGCGUAGAUUGUUUUUUAAGUCAGCGGUGAAAGUUUGUGGCUAACACAUAAACUUGCCGUUGAAACUGGAAGACAUGAGUGUGUUUGGGGUAGGAGGAAUGCGUGGUGUAGCGGUGAAAUGC